rnacentral:lncRNA from 1 species
CCAAUUUUCUAUUUUUUUCAGUGAGAUACAUGACUAUAAUCCAACAUUUUUGCAAUUUCAACAAAAAACAUUUGAACAUGCAGUAAAUCACUGGAGGUUACCGGGGAAGAAAGGACCUGCAGCCUUGAACAGAGAUGGAUUUAGAAAUAUGCUCAGCAAUACCAGCGAAUAGUACAGGAGAAUCUAGGAUAAAGGAAACAGACUGGAAAAUAAACCAUCCUAGAAAGAAAAGUUCAGAGAAUGAGAACCCGACAUGCUCUAAAAAGGAAUAUUUAACCUGGAUUAAUUCAUAAAAUAAUAGGAGAAAAUUUUUGCAGCCAGAAUACUAUGAAUUUGAGUUGAUUGAAG